CAUACCCAUAAAUCAAUAAUUCAAUGGAGUCUGCUGUUGCAAUUCACAACAUUACCAGGCAGGCCACGCUGGCAUACCUGGAAGAGGAAAAGCAGACAAAAGUCUUGGAGCCUGGGACUAACCACUGCCUCUGUCCUCAGCAGGACCCCCAUCAAGGAGACCUGAAGAGAUGAUGCUGGAUCUUCUGGGACCAUUUCCUCUCCUCCUGGUGCUGCUGGGAUCAUGGGGGCCAGUGCCACUUGCUGCUAGUCCUCCAAACCUGAAAGGGCUCAAGGGUUUGAANN
rnacentral:lncRNA from 1 species